rnacentral:sRNA from 1 species
CUGCAGCCCGACUUGAACGGAAAUCCUUUUUUGCGUGAAUUAAAGUUCUAUUUAAACUGAAAUCGUCUGCAAAAAAGAUUGGGAGUGGAAGGCGGAAAAGCU